GGGAAAGAUGCUAGAGCACUGUUCACCCGGACACUGUGUCCUAUUCUCACUUAAUCGUUCCUCGCUACUAGAUUUCUGUUGUUGGGCUCGGUGCCAGAAGCGAUCAGAAUGUAGGAGAUGGUGUUCGCAGGAUACUGGAAAGACCCUCAUUAUCUGUCAAUGAAUAUCAGAACCGAAUUCGGUCUAUGGUAAAUUUUCCAGUUUUUCUACGACAUUCCAGUAAGAUGAAGGUGACGGGUAUUGGGAUGACAACAGACACGCAGAAGGAGAUACGUCAGCUCCGCUGGUAUGACGUUGUGCCAGUAUAACAUCAUGCCGCCCAGUUUGCUACCGAUUAGAUUUACAAAGGUGAAGUGUCUGGAUCGAAUAUAGGAGUAACCCGUAAGAUAAAUAGACAUCCUUUUUGGGAAAAAGUCUCCUUGGAGCCAUGGUAACGGAAUGACCUCCGAUAAAGUUCAAAUCUUAUACUUGGCUUUCUGUCUGAUGCAAGGUAAUUUAUCCCAUUAUAAUAUUAUAAAAGUUGCGAGAUGCUUAACGACCGUCCACCAUCUGAUAACGGCUAUACACAUCUCCUCCACCAAACUUAUCAGCAUAAUAAUAAUAAUAAUAAUAAUAAUAAUAAUAAUACAAUAUACCUUCUUACAUCGCUACCAUCGAUACUUUGAUAAAAAUUAAAUUUUUCACCAAAAUCCUAGUUUUACAGAAUAUUUAGUUUUUGUUUUAAAUAUUCCGCUUUUCUAAAAGUAGUUUGGGAAAAUUAAAAUACUUGUAAGCAUUAUAAAAAAUAAGUGGAGGUCCAAACUGUCAAAAAAAUAUAGAUCAAAAGGAACAUAAAUGUUGAA
rnacentral:lncRNA from 1 species